UACGAAGGGGGCUAGCGUUGUUCGGAAUCACUGGGCGUAAAGCGCACGUAGGCGGAUUUGUCAGUCAGGGGUGAAAUCCCGGGGCUCAACCUCGGAACUGCCUUUGAUACAGCAAGUCUUGAGUUCGGGAGAGGUGGGUGGAAUUCCUAGUGUAGAGGUGAAAUUCGUAGAUAUUAGGAAGAACACCGGUGGCGAAGGCGGCCCACUGGCUCGAUACUGACGCUGAGGAGCGAAAGCGUGGGUAGCAAACAGG
rnacentral:rRNA from 1 species